UCAAAGAACAACAAAUUUGAAAAAAGGCAAUUACUUGUGAAAAUACCUUCAUGACAGCACAUGUUCAAAACUAGUCUUCGAAUCAAAUAUACAAACGGGACAAUUUCAAAUAAUUAGCUUACCUUUAGACGAUGUUUACCAAGCGGUGGUUGUAAUUUGCCAAAAGUAGUUAGCAAGAGAUUUUCAGAAGAAGAAACUUCUAAUAGCUUGAGUAAAUC
rnacentral:sRNA from 1 species